GUGAAAGGUGUGUCUCCACCGGCUGC
rnacentral:piRNA from 1 species